rnacentral:rRNA from 1 species
GAUGAACGCUGGCGGCGUGCCUAAUACAUGCAAGUCGAGCGAACAGAUGAGGAGCUUGCUCCUCUGACGUUAGCGGCGGACGGGUGAGUAACACGUGGAUAACCUACCUAUAAGACUGGGAUAACUUCGGGAAACCGGAGCUAAUACCGGAUAAUAUAUUGAACCGCAUGGUUCAAUAGUGAAAGACGGUUUUGCUGUCACUUAUAGAUGGAUCCGCGCCGCAUUAGCUAGUUGGUAAGGUAACGGCUUACCAGGGCAACGAUGCGUAGCCGACCUGAGAGGGUGAUCGGCCACACUGGAACUGAGACACGGUCCAGACUCCUACGGGAGGCAGCAGUAGGGAAUCUUCCGCAAUGGGCGAAAGCCUGACGGAGCAACGCCGCGUGAGUGAUGAAGGUCUUCGGAUCGUAAAACUCUGUUAUUAGGGAAGAACAAAUGUGUAAGUAACUAUGCACGUCUUGACGGUACCUAACCAGAAAGCCACGGCUAACUACGUG